AAUGAACGUUGGCGGCGUGGAUUAGGCAUGCAAGUCGAGCGAGAAGCCCCCUUCGGGGGGUGGACAGCGGCGCAAGGGAGAGUAAUGCGUGGAUACCUACCCCCGAGACCGGGAUAGCUGUGGGAAACUGCAGGUAAUACCGGAUAACGUCUCCGGACCAAAUGGUGUGAUUCCGCUUGGGGAUGGGUCCGCGUCCUAUUAGCUUGUUGGUGGGGUAAUGGCCUACCAAGGCGACGAUGGGUACCGGGUGUGAGAGCAUGACCCGGCUCACUGGGACUGAGACACUGCCCAGACACCUACGGGUGGCUGCAGUCGAGAAUCUUCGGCAAUGAGCGCAAGCUUGACCGAGCGACACCGCGUGCGGGAUGAAGGCCUUCGGGUUGUAAACCGCUGUCAGAGGGGAGGAAAUGCACGGGGGUUAUCCCCGGUGUUUGACCUGUCCUCAGAGGAAGGACGGGCUAAGUUCGUACCAGCAGCCGCGGUAAGACGAACCGUCCAAACGUUAUUCGGAAUCACUGGGCUUAAAGGGUGCGUAGGCGGCCCGGCAAGUUGGGUGUGAAAUCCCUCGGCUCAACCGAGGAAUGGCGCCCAAAACUGCCGAGCUAGAGGGAGACAGAGGCGAGCGGAACUUGCGGUGGAGCGGUGAUAUGCGUUGAUAUCGCAAGGAACACCAGUAGCGAAGGCGGCUCGCUGGGUCUCUUCUGACGCUCAGGCACGAAAGCCAGGGGAGCGAACGGGAUUAGAUACCCCUGUAGUCCACGCCGUAAACGAUGAUCACUAGAGAUCAGCUGGAAUCGACCCCUUUGGUCUCGAAGCUAACGCGUUAAGUGAUCCGCCUGGGAAGUACGCUCGCAAGAGUGAAACUCAAAGGAAUUGACGGGGAUCCACACAAGCGGUGGAGCGUGUGGUUUAAUUCGACAACAAGCGAAGAACCUUACCAAGGUUUGACAUCUCUGGAAUCCGCUAGAAACAGUGGAGUGCCUUCGGGAACCAGAUGACAGGUGUUGCAUGGUUGUCGUCAGCUCGUGUUGUGAAACGUUGGGUUAAGUCCCUGAACGAGCGCAACCCUUGCCUCAUGUUAAAUUUGUCAUGAGGGACUGCCGUGGUCAACACGGAGGAAGGUGAGGAUGACGCCAAAUCAGCAUGGCCCUUAUGCCUUGGGCGACACACGCGCUACAAUGGUGCAGACAAUGGGUUUUGCCAAAUCGCAAGAUGGAGCUAAUCCCGAAACUGCACCCCAGUACGGAUUGGAGUCUGCAACUCGACUCCAUGAAGAUGGAAUCGCUAGUAACCGUAGGUCAGCCACACUACGGUGAAUAUGUUCCUGGAUCUUGUACACACCGCCCGUCAUGUCAAAGAAGCUGGUGGCACUGGAUAUCCCCUGGUUUCAGGGGAUGAAGGUGAAGCCAGUGACUGGGACA
rnacentral:rRNA from 1 species